UACGGAGGGUGCAAGCGUUAUCCGGAUUCACUGGGUUUAAAGGGUGCGUAGGAGGGCAGGUAAGUCAGUGGUGAAAUCUUUGGGCUUAACCCGAAAACUGCCAUUGAUACUAUCUGUCUUGAAUCCCGUGGAGGUGAGCGGAAUAUGUCAUGUAGCGGUGAAAUGCUUAGAUAUGACAUAGAACACCAAUUGCGAAGGCAGCUUACUACAGGGACAUUGACACUGAGGCACGAAAGCGUGGGGAUCAAACAGG
rnacentral:rRNA from 1 species